rnacentral:rRNA from 1 species
AGCGAACGCUGGCGGCAGGCCUAACACAUGCAAGUCGAACGGAUCCUUCGGGAUUAGUGGCGGACGGGUGAGUAACACGUGGGAACGUGCCCUUUGGUUCGGAACAACUCAGGGAAACUUGAGCUAAUACCGGAUAAGCCUUUCGAGGGAAAGAUUUAUCGCCAUUGGAGCGGCCCGCGUAGGAUUAGCUAGUUGGUGGGGUAAAGGCCCACCAAGGCUACGAUCCUUAGCUGGUCUGAGAGGAUGAUCAGCCACAUUGGGACUGAGACACGGCCCAAACUCCUACGGGAGGCAGCAGUGGGGAAUCUUGCGCAAUGGGCGAAAGCCUGACGCAGCCAUGCCGCGUGAAUGAUGAAGGUCUUAGGAUUGUAAAAUUCUUUCACCGGGGACGAUAAUGACGGUACCCGGAGAAGAAGCCCCGGCUAACUUCGUGCCAGCAGCCGCGGUAAUACGAAGGGGGCUAGCGUUGCUCGGAAUUACUGGGCGUAAAGGGAGCGUAGGCGGAUAGUUUAGUCAGAGGUGAAAGCCCAGGGCUCAACCUUGGAAUUGCCUUUGAUACUGGCUAUCUUGAGUACGGAAGAGGUAUGUGGAACUCCGAGUGUAGAGGUGAAAUUCGUAGAUAUUCGGAAGAACACCAGUGGCGAAGGCGACAUACUGGUCCGUUACUGACGCUGAGGCUCGAAAGCGUGGGGAGCAAACAGGAUUAGAUACCCUGGUAGUCCACGCUGUAAACGAUGAGUGCUAGUUGUCGGCAGGCAUGCCUGUCGGUGACGCAGCUAACGCAUUAAGCACUCCGCCUGGGAGUACGGUCGCAAGAUUAAA